rnacentral:rRNA from 1 species
AUUGAACGCUGGCGGCAUGCUUUACACAUGCAAGUCGAACGGCAGCGCGGGCUUCGGCCUGGCGGCGAGUGGCGAACGGGUGAGUAAUGCAUCGGAACGUGCCCAGUAGUGGGGGAUAGCCCGGCGAAAGCCGGAUUAAUACCGCCUACGACCUGCGGGUGAAAGCGGGGGACCGAAAGGCCUCGCGCUAUUGGAGCGGCCGACGUCGGACUAGCUAGUUGGUGGGGUAAAGGCUUACCAAGGCGACGAUCCGUAGCUGGUCUGAGAGGACGACCAGCCACACUGGGACUGAGACACGGCCCAGACUCCUACGGGAGGCAGCAGUGGGGAAUUUUGGACAAUGGGGGCAACCCUGAUCCAGCCAUGCCGCGUGCGGGAAGAAGGCCUUCGGGUUGUAAACCGCUUUUGUUCGGGAAGAAAUCCUCUGGGCUAAUACCCCGGGGGGAUGACGGUACCGGAAGAAUAAGCACCGGCUAACUACGUG